rnacentral:ncRNA from 1 species
GAGAGCACAGUACGAUGAAAGUUGUAAACUGUGUUCGGGGGGGGGGGGGGGGGGGGGGGGAAUUAUUGUCCAUCGUUGGCCUCUAUGGUUGAAUCAGUCGGGGACCUGAGAGGCUGUGGUUUACCCUGC